rnacentral:rRNA from 1 species
UACGUAGGGGGCAAGCGUUGUCCGGAUUUAUUGGGCGUAAAGAGCGUGUAGGCGGCCAGGUAGGUCUGCUGUGAAAACUCGAGGCUCAACCUCGAGAUGUCGGCGGAAACCAUCUGGCUAGAGUCCGGAAGAGGAGAGUGGAAUUCCUGGUGUAGCGGUGAAAUGCGCAGAUAUCAGGAGGAACACCGGUGGCGAAGGCGGAUCUCUGGGCCUUACCUGACGCUGAGACGCGAAAGCUAGGGGAGCGAACAGG